rnacentral:lncRNA from 1 species
CUCUUGGUUUGGCUUAACCAAGCAAUCAUUAUUAAUCUCGUCUGCCUUUUGACACCUAGAGGAUCAGUUUUUCCUUAAACCAACUCCAACCGAGACUCAAACAACUCGUCGCUUUCCUUCGAGGUCCCUCGAUUCACCACUAAUCAUCGCUAGCAGAUGGUUGCAAUAUUAUCGGAAUCCGAAAUAGCCUCCAUCACCCUAACCAAAUAGCUUUCCCCCCCUAUUUGCACUUCAACUCAUCUUCAAACUGAUGAAUCAAAAUUAUCAUCUUCCCACAGUUGAAAUCCUCAAGCUUCAAAGUAUUGCCACAAAUUCGCAAUCUCAUGGAGAGUUGUUGAUUUGCAAACAUGCAGAGGUAGUCAAUAAAAAAUCCAAGUUGCUCCCUUAGCAGUCAAGUAGUCUUUAGACCAUUCAACAAUGUUGGCAAACCAGUUCAUGGUCUUCAACAUCCUUCUCUUUUUGUCCACUCCAAAGGUGAUUAGGACAUACUUACCAAAUUUUUCUAGCAUCAAUAUCAAAGACUCCUUCAAUUCUAAAAAUUUCCCUAACAACAUUUGUCUCAUAAAAUCCCCUGCUAUUUCCACAAAGCAUUUUCUAGUUUUUGUAAGGACUCUAGCUCAACAAAAACUUGUAUGAAUCUCGCCUUUUUUAUUUUUAAAUCUUGUUACCGUUCCAUAAUCUUGGAUAUCAACCAUAGUCGGAUUAGAAACAUUUUUGUGUGAUAUGUCAGACCUCUGUAUUUCACUCCUGUGGAAUUAGCCUUUUGUUAGUCCUGUUUGUUCCUAUAUUUUAACCAGGUGUUGUUAAUAAUAUAUCCACCACUAUGCAGAUUUUUAGCUCUUUCGGUUUUACUCUUUCUUUUUAGCCACUUGUACAGCUUAUAAAAGGUUGUGUUAAGUUCUUUUUCAUGUAUCAAAAAAUAUUCAACUUCACUUUCUCUUCACUUCUAGUUUUCAUUCCAAGUUUUAUUUUUAUCUUCUUUAGCAUAUUUUAUCUUUGUUUUUAUCAAUAUGUUUUGAUAUCAAAGCUAAGUUUGUUUGAUUAAGUGGGAGAGAGUGAAAUAAAACAGAAAUUCAAUGUGAGUGGUUCAGGCAAACCUAAUGCUGAUAGUCAGUGGUACUGCAACUUCAUCCCAGCCUUUUAUUCCUUUGUUCAAAAGAGAGAACUACGAAUUUUGGAGCAACAAGAUAUAAGGACUUUGUUUAUGUCUCAAGAACUUUGGGAGCUGGUAUAAAGUGAGUAUAAUGACCCCAGAUGAUCAACAAAGACUUCGAAAGAGCAGAAAGAAAUACACACGACCUUUGUUCUUUCUUCAACAAGCAGGUACAAAUGAUAUUUUCGCUCGGAUUUUUAGAGCAACUACUUCCCUAGACAUAUGACAGAUCCUCAAAAAAGAGUUUCAAGGUUAAACAAAGAUAAUUACUGUCAAACUUCAAUCCCUUCGUAGAACCUUUAAAAUGUUUCAGAUGGGCAUGUUUAAAUCUAUUCAAACUUAUUUGUCAAGAGUGGAAUUGUUUCUCAAAAAUUUGUUUGGUAUCAUUAUAGAAGCUUUUGGUAUCCAUAUUAUUCGUCAUUAUGCUUUUCAUGACUUAUUUUGUAUGUUUUAAGAAUACCAUAUAGUAAUGGAGAGUACUAGAAAUAGAAAUUGCAUACGACUUUAUUGAAUUAUUCUUAGCAUGCAACUCUUUGAUUUUAGGAUCAUGCCUUGGUUACAAGAAAUUCUUGAUAAUAAUUGGUGUCUUUGUAUUUUUUUUUUUUUUGGCAUGAUUUCUUAGUGAUAUCUUCGUGCAAGUAGGACUAAACUGUAUGAUUGUUUUGAACCUUGCAUUAUGUUAUCUUUAUAAAUGAAUUUUAAUUAUGCUUUUUUGCCAAUUUAUCCUUCCACUUUGAUUUUCAAAAUUUCGAGAAACAAAUUAGUUAGCAAAACUUUGUUUCAAGAACUACAUGUCUAGAGACAUGGCCUAUCAAUAGUCAUAUAAUAACUAUUUUCAGUCAAGUCUCGAGACAGACAUUGCGGGAACCAUUUUUGAACUCAAAUUUAAAGCUUCCAACGGCUAAAAUCUAUCCCCAACAGCCAUAAACGUCCACAAACUCAUUCCUUGGAAUAAAUACAAGUCAGAGACACGUCAAGACAUAAGAGUUGAACGCAUCCUAGCAUAAAAGUCAAGAGAAAAGCUUCAAUUUUUUUAUUCUUUCAUUUUCACUUGUACAUAUCUCUUGGAACUUAUUGUUAGAUAUUUUAUCACUCUCAUUUUUAUUUCUACGAGAGCUUAUUUUUGUAAACACACACUUUGUAAAGGUCUCUUUGUUUACUUUCUUUCAUAUCAUCAAUUGUAAAUUUGCAAGGUUUUAAUUGAGCCAUAAAAGCUAUGGGGAAAUAUUCUAUCUAUGCCUUAAGAAAAAGAUAGUGUUGUAAAA